GAUGAACGCUAGCGGCAGGCUUAAUACAUGCAAGUCGAGGGGUAGCAAGAUUGUAGCAAUACAAUUGUUGACGACCGGCAAACGGGUGCGGAACACGUACACAACCUUCCUACAAGUGGGGAAUAGCCCAGAGAAAUUUGGAUUAAUACCCCGUAACAUAAUGAUGUGGCAUCACAUUAUUAUUAUAGCUUCGGCGCUUAUUGAUGGGUGUGCGGCUGAUUAGAUAGUUGGCGGGGUAACGGCCCACCAAGUCUACGAUCAGUAGCUGAUGUGAGAGCAUGAUCAGCCACACGGGCACUGAGACACGGGCCCGACUCCUACGGGAGGCAGCAGUAAGGAAUAUUGGUCAAUGGACGCAAGUCUGAACCAGCCAUGCCGCGUGAAGGAUUAAGGUCCUCUGGAUUGUAAACUUCUUUUAUCUGGGACGAAAAAAGGCUAUUCUUAGUCACUUGACGGUACCAGAUGAAUAAGCACCGGCUAACUCCGUGCCAGCCGCCGCAGUAAGAC
rnacentral:rRNA from 1 species